AGUCACUGACAUUAGAUACCCCCGGUAGUCCCAGCCGUAAACUAUGCUCGCUAAGGUGUCAGGCAUGGCGCGACCGUGUCUGGUGCCGCAGGGAAGCCGUGAAGCGAGCCACCUGGGAAGUACGGCCGCAAGGCUGAAACUUAAAGGAAUUGGCGGGGAGCACCACAACGGGUGGAGCCUGCGGUUUAAUUGGACUCAACGCCGGAAAUCUCACCGGAUAGGACAGACAUAUGGUAGUCGGGCUGAAGACUCUACUUGAUGAUCUG
rnacentral:rRNA from 1 species